rnacentral:rRNA from 1 species
UACGAAGGGUGCAAGCGUUACUCGGAAUUACUGGGCGUAAAGCGUGCGUAGGCGGUUUGUUAAGUCUGAUGUGAAAGCCCUGGGCUCAACCUGGGAAUGGCAUUGGAUACUGGCAAUCUAGAAUGUGGUAGAGGGUGGCGGAAUUCCCGGUGUAGCAGUGAAAUGCGUAGAUAUCGGGAGGAACAUCCGUGGCGAAGGCGGCCACCUGGACCAACAUUGACGCUGAGGCACGAAAGCGUGGGGAGCAAACAGGAUUAGAAACCCCUAGUAGUCC